rnacentral:rRNA from 1 species
GAUGCGUAGGCGAUGGCCAACAGGUCGAAAUUCCUGUACCGGUGAUGUCCGUUUGAGUGAUGUGGUGACGCAGUAGGAUAGAUGGAGCGUGCGACCGGAAGGGCACGUCCAAGCAGUGAGUGGUCAGGGCAGGCAAAUCCGCCCUGUAUAACCAUGAGCUGUGACGGGGAGCCGAAAUUUAGUAGGCGAAGCCAUUGAUUUCACACUGCCGAGAAAAGCCGCUGGCGAGGACGAUCACCGCCCGUACCGUAAACCGACACAGGUAGUUGGGAAGAGAAUUCUAAGGUGAGCGAGCGAACUCUCGUUAAGGAACUCGGCAAAAUGACCCCGUAACUUCGGGAGAAGGGGUGCUCAUAGAGAUAUGAGCCGCAGUGAAUAGGCCCAAGCGACUGUUUAUCAAAAACACAGGUCUCUGCCAAACCGAAAGGUGACGUAUAGGGGCUGACGCCUGCCCGGUGCUGGAAGGUUAAGAGGAGCGCUCAGCGUAAGCGAAGGUGCGAAUCGAAGCCCCAGUAAACGGCGGCCGUAACUAUAACGGUCCUAAGGUAGCGAAAUUCCUUGUCAGGUAAGUUCUGACCCGCACGAAAGGCGCAACGAUUUGGGCACUGUCUCAACGAGAGGCUCGGUGAAAUCAUAGUACCUGUGAAGAUGCAGGUUACCCGCGACAGGACGGAAAGACCCCGUGGAGCUUUACUGUAACCUGAUAU